AUUGAACGCUGGCGGCAGGCCUAACACAUGCAAGUCGAACGGUAACAGGAAACAGCUUGCUGUUUCGCUGACGAGUGGCGGACGGGUGAGUAAUGUCUGGGAAACUGCCUGAUGGAGGGGGAUAACUACUGGAAACGGUAGCUAAUACCGCAUAACGUCGCAAGACCAAAGAGGGGGACCCUCGGGCCUCUUGCCAUCGGAUGUGCCCAGAUGGGAUUAGCUUGUUGGUGGGGUAACGGCUCACCAAGGCGACGAUCCCUAGCUGGUCUGAGAGGAUGACCAGCCACACUGGAACUGAGACACGGUCCAGACUCCUACGGGAGGCAGCAGUGGGGAAUAUUGCACAAUGGGCGCAAGCCUGAUGCAGCCAUGCCGCGUGUAUGAAGAAGGCCUUCGGGUUGUAAAGUACUUUCAGCGGGGAGGAAGGGAGUAAAGUUAAUACCUUUGCUCAUUGACGUUACCCGCAGAAGAAGCACCGGCUAACUCCGUGCCAGCAGCCGCGGUAAUACGGAGGGUGCAAGCGUUAAUCGGAAUUACUGGGCGUAAAGCGCACGCAGGCGGUUUGUUAAGUCAGAUGUGAAAUCCCCGGGCUCAACCUGGGAACUGCAUCUGAUACUGGCAAGCUUGAGUCUCGUAGAGGGGGGUAGAAUUCCAGGUGUAGCGGUGAAAUGCGUAGAGAUCUGGAGGAAUACCGGUGGCGAAGGCGGCCCCCUGGACGAAGACUGACGCUCAGGUGCGAAAGCGUGGGGAGCAAACAGGAUUAGAUACCCUGGUAGUCCACGCUGUAAACGAUGUCGACUUGGAGGUUGUGCCCUUGAGGCGUGGCUUCCGGAGCUAACGCGUUAAGUCGACCGCCUGGGGAGUACGGCCGCAAGGUUAAAACUCAAAUGAAUUGACGGGGGCCCGCACAAGCGGUGGAGCAUGUGGUUUAAUUCGAUGCAACGCGAAGAACCUUACCUGGUCUUGACAUCCACGGAAGUUUUCAGAGAUGAGAAUGUGCCUUCGGGAACCGUGAGACAGGUGCUGCAUGGCUGUCGUCAGCUCGUGUUGUGAAAUGUUGGGUUAAGUCCCGCAACGAGCGCAACCCUUAUCCUUUGUUGCCAGCGGUCCGGCCGGGAACUCAAAGGAGACUGCCAGUGAUAAACUGGAGGAAGGUGGGGAUGACGUCAAGUCAUCAUGGCCCUUACGACCAGGGCUACACACGUGCUACAAUGGCGCAUACAAAGAGAAGCGACCUCGCGAGAGCAAGCGGACCUCAUAAAGUGCGUCGUAGUCCGGAUUGGAGUCUGCAACUCGACUCCAUGAAGUCGGAAUCGCUAGUAAUCGUGGAUCAGAAUGCCACGGUGAAUACGUUCCCGGGCCU
rnacentral:rRNA from 1 species